AAAUCUCAGCCCUUCCUUCCUUAUCAUACCACACUUCGCUCUAUAUUAUCUUUCUACUUCCUUCCCCUAUUUUUCUUCCUCUAUCACCUUUCCUCUAUGUUAUAUUGCACUCUUCGUUAUCCUCAUUUCUAUGAAACAAUCACUUUUUUUUCAGUUUGUACUCUACACUCUUCAAUAG